AGACAACACAAUAUCGGGUUCACCAUAAUACAAACCAUAAUAAAAGAAACCAUGAUUCAUGCAUACGAGACCAUAACAUAAUUACAUCAAACAUCAUGCUGCAUUUAAUACUGAAAAUUAGAUCAAACAAUAACAGACCAACACUUAUCAGACUCGGGUUCCAUUAGCAACCUCAAUCAAUUAUACAUCUAUAAAGUCUCAAAAUACCGUUUAAUUAUUUAUUAAGCUUUAAUACCAUGAUAGGAAAUAGGGUAAAGGGUCCUUACUUAUUUCGGGAUUUGAAUUCGACUCUACAGUGUGCCUACAGGCUGUCCCUAAUUUUCGUGAAUUUUUUCCAGAAAACUGAAACGCACUACCGGUACCUGCACGUGUCCCAAAAAAUUUCAAAUCAGACCUAGGGCCCCU
rnacentral:lncRNA from 1 species